AGAGUUUGAUCCUGGCUCAGAAUCAACGCUGGCGGCGUGCCUCAGACAUGCAAGUCGAACGCGAAAGCCUCCUUCGGGGGGCAAGUAGAGUGGCGCACGGGUGAGUAACACGUAGGUAAUCUACCUUUGGAUGGGGAAUAACAACCGGAAACGGUUGCUAAUACCGCAUAAUGCAGCGGCACCUAAUGGUGACAGUUGUUAAAGCGGGGGAUCGUAAGACCUCGCGUCUAAAGAGGAGCCUGCGGCAGAUUAGCUAGUUGGUAAGGUAACGGCUUACCAAGGCGAUGAUCUGUAGCCGGCCUGAGAGGGCGGUCGGCCACACUGACACUGACAUACGGGUCAGACUCCUACGGGAGGCAGCAGUCGGGAAUUUUGGGCAAUGGGCGAAAGCCUGACCCAGCAACGCCGCGUGAAGGAUGAAAUCCCUCGGGAUGUAAACUUCGCAAGAACGGGAAGAAUAAACCGGUGUUAACACCACCGGCGAUGACGGUACUGUUUGUAAGCUCCGGCUAACUCCGUGCCAGCAGCCGCGGUA
rnacentral:rRNA from 1 species